ncrna:unclassified sequences S15-Flavobacteria ribosomal protein leader
UAUAUUUGCAACCUUCGAGAUAAACUCUAAGUUGCAUAAUGAUCAUUUACAAAAAUAUUGGCAUG